UACGGAGGGUGCAAGCGUUGUUCGGAAUUACUGGGCGUAAAGCGCGUGUAGGCGGUUUCCUCAGUCUGGUGUGAAAGCCCGGGGCUCACCCCCGGAAGUGCAUCGGAUACUGGGAGACUUGCGUACCGGAGAGGAGGGUGGAAUUCCUGGUGUAGCGGUGAAAUGCGUAGAUAUCAGGAGGAACACCGGUGGCGAAGGCGGCCCUCUGGACGGAUACUGCCGCUGAGCCGCGAAAGCGUGGGGAGCACACAGG
rnacentral:rRNA from 1 species